rnacentral:rRNA from 1 species
GAUGAACGCUGGCGGCGUGCCUAAUACAUGCAAGUCGAGCGAACGGACGAGAAGCUUGCUUCUCUGAUGUUAGCGGCGGACGGGUGAGUAACACGUGGAUAACCUACCUAUAAGACUGGGAUAACUUCGGGAAACCGGAUCUAAUACCGGAUAAUAUUUUGAACCGCAUGGUUCAAAAGCGAAAGACGGUCUUGCUGUCACUUAUAGAUGGAUCCGCGCUGCAUUAGCUAGUUGGUAAGGUAACGGCUUACCAAGGCAACGAUGCAUAGCCGACCUGAGAGGGGGUUCGGCCACAGUGGAGCUGAGACGCGGUCCAGACUCCUACGGAAGGCAGCAGUAGGGAAUCUUCCGCAAUGGGCGAAAGCCUGACGGAGCAACGCCGCGUGGAUGAUGAAGGGCUGCGGAUCGUAAAACUCUGUUAGUAGGGAAGAACAUAUGUGUAAGUAACUGUGCACAUCUGGACGGUACCUAAUCAGAAAGCCACGGCUAACUACGU